UACGGGGGGGGUAAGCGUUGUUCGGAAUUACUGGGCGUAAAGGGCUCGUAGGCGGCCAACUAAGUCAGACGUGAAAUCCCUCAGCUUAACUGGGGAACUGCGUCUGAUACUGGAUGGCUUGGAUUCGGGAGAGGAAUGCAGAAUUCCAGGUGUAGCGGUGAAAUGCGUAGAUAUCUGGAGGAACACCGGUGGCGAAGGCGGCAUUCUGGACCGACAUUGACGCUGAGGAGCGAAAGCCAGGGGAGCAAACGGG
rnacentral:rRNA from 1 species